rnacentral:rRNA from 1 species
GAUGAACGCUGGCGGCGUGCCUAAUACAUGCAAGUCGAGCGAACGGACGAGAAGCUUGCUUCUCUGAUGUUAGCGGCGGACGGGUGAGUAACACGUGGAUAACCUACCUAUAAGACUGGGAUAACUUCGGGAAACCGGAGCUAAUACCGGAUAAUAUUUUGAACCGCAUGGUUCAAAAGUGAAAGACGGUCUUGCUGUCACUUAUAGAUGGAUCCGCGCUGCAUUAGCUAGUUGGUAAGGUAACGGCUUACCAAGGCAACGAUGCAUAGCCGACCUGAGAGGGUGAUCGGACACACUGGAACUGAGACACGGUCCAGACUCCUACGGGAGGCAGCAGUAGGGAAUCUUCCGCAAAGGGCGAAAGCCUGAAGGAGCAACGCCGCGUGAGUGAUGAAGGUCUUCGGAUCGUAAAACUCUGUUAUUAGGGAAGAACAUAUGUGUAAGUAACUGUGCACAUCUUGACGGUACCUAAUCAGAAAGCCACGGCUAACUACGUG